UACGGAGGGUGCAAGCGUUAUCCGGAUUCACUGGGUUUAAAGGGUGCGUAGGAGGGCAGGUAAGUCAGUGGUGAAAUCUCCGAGCUUAACUUGGAAACUGCCGUUGAUACUAUCUGCCUUGAAUAUUGUGGAGGUGAGCGGAAUAUGUCAUGUAGCGGUGAAAUGCUUAGAUAUGACAUAGAACACCAAUUGCGAAGGCAGCUGGCUACACGAAUAUUGACACUGAUGCACGAAAGCGUGGGGAUCAAACAGG
rnacentral:rRNA from 1 species